rnacentral:rRNA from 1 species
AACGAACGCUGGCGGCAGGCCUAACACAUGCAAGUCGAACGCCCCGCAAGGGGAGUGGCGCACGGGUGAGUAACGCGUGGGAAUAUGCCCUUCGGUUCGGAAUAACACAGGGAAACUUGUGCUAAUACCGGAUACGAUCUACGGAUGAAAGAUUUAUCGCCGAGGGAGUAGCCCGCGUAGGAUUAGCUAGUUGGUGAGGUAAUGGCUCACCAAGGCGACGAUCCUUAGCUGGUCUGAGAGGAUGAUCAGCCACACUGGGACUGAGACACGGCCCAGACUCCUACGGGAGGCAGCAGUGGGGAAUAUUGCACAAUGGGCGAAAGCCUGAUGCAGCAACGCCGCGUGAGGGAUGAAGGCCUUCGGGUUGUAAACCUCUUUUAGCAGGGAAGAAGCGAAAGUGACGGUACCUGCAGAAAAAGCACCGGCUAACUACGUGCCAGCCGCCGCUGUAA